UAUAUAGCUGCAUAGCCUGAUGUCCUCUGUUUAUUCUCGAAACAGGUGUAACAUGGGCAGCAGCAACACAAGCUUCCCCACUCUGUCCCACCAACAUGCCUCCAUUCUGUCCUAGAGGGCCCACUUGGGGGCUAAAAAGGGUUCUCCAGGGCAUAGGCGGCGGGUGAACCCAUGCUUUGG
rnacentral:sRNA from 1 species